CGUAAUUCAAGGGACUGGGACGAAGAACUUAGGUUCUGUAGCAAUCGGAAGUGGUUCCAAGAAAAGCCUCUAAGCUUCAGUCAUACGAGACCGUACCGCAAACCGACACAGGUGGGCGAGAUGAGUAUUCUAAGGCGCUUGAGAGAACUCGGGAGAAGGAACUCGGCAAAUUGGUACCGUAACUUCGGGAAAAGGUACGCCUCGGUAGCUUGGUCACUUUACUGUGAUAGGGCGAAAAGGUUGCAAUAAACUGGUGGCUGCGACUGUUUAAUAAAAACACAGCACUCUGCAAACACGAAAGUGGACGUAUAGGGUGUGACGCCUGCCCGGUGCUGGAAGAUUAAAUGAUGGGGUGCAAGCUCUUGAUUGAAGUCCCAGUAAACGGCGGCCGUAACUAUAACGGUCCUAAGGUAGCGAAAUUCCUUGUCGGGUAAGUUCCGACCUGCACGAAUGGCGUAACGAUGGCCACACUGUCUCCUCCCGAGACUCAGCGAAGUUGAAAUGUUUGUGAUGAUGCAAUCUACCCGCGGCUAGACGGAAAGACCCCAUGAACCUUUACUGUAGCUUUGCAUUGGACUUUGAAUCAAUCUGUGUAGGAUAGGUGGGAGGCUUUGAAGUAGGGACGCCAGU
rnacentral:rRNA from 1 species